rnacentral:tRNA from 1 species
GCCUGGGUGGCUCAGUCGGUUAAGUGUCUGACUUCAGCUCAGGUCAUGAUCUCAGGGUUUGUGAGUUCGAGCCCCGCGUCAGGCU